UAUUGUUAGAAAAGACUAACCACCACCAACAACAACAACAAAAGACGAAGACCAACUUUGACCGUGACCAAUUCAUAUAAAUGUAUCAAUGGAUGAACGUGUUUUGAUAGGUAUCAACGAAUUGUUCUGUUCAAAGGACAUGUUAUGCCAACCUUUAGUUGCCUAUUAACAUCAAACACCAUGAGAACAGGCCUUCUUCAUAUAUGAGUUCCUGAAACUACCCUGACCAAACAGCUUCAUCUACAAGAACAACUCUGUCUACAAGAAUAACAACACUUCAUGCAAGAACAAAAACAGCAAUCCCAGCUUCAUGAACAACUCUGCUUACUAAAACAUGAACACCAACCCCAUCUACAAGAACAACAACACCAACCCCUGCUACAAGAACAUCAACCCUUUCUACAGGAACAACUACAACAACACUAGCUUCAAGAACAACUUCAUCUUAAACAACAACAACAGCAACACCAGCUACACAAGUACAAUAACUGUUCACAAGAGAAACAACUCUGAACAAGAACACCAACAAUACACUCUUUAAGAACACCAUCAUCAUCAUCAUCAUCAUCAACAGCAUCAUCAUCAUCAUCAUCUUCUAGACCAGCAAAUGCAAAAAACACCAAAGACAAAGUUGAAUGAUAUGUACACCCCAUCUUGAACUACCGAGAAGAUGCCUAGAAAAAAAGAAACCUAAACUUUAGUCGGUUGACCAUCAACUCAGCUGAAUUUCAUUGCUAAACUGGAAUGGUGACCAUAACUUUGUGGCAUGUGGACAGAAAAAUGUGGUUUCAGAUGCAGAGACUUUAGUUCAGUUAAAUGACAAAAACAGUUGUCUUUAUGUACAUUUGUAUAAACAACUUAGGUUGGAUAACAUUAAGGACAACCCUGCCAAAUUUCAAUUCUUCACAAACAUGCCCAAUUACCAAGUAUUUCAAAAUAAAACUGACGCAAGAGGAACUGUAAUAUUUACUUUUUCGUUUAUGUUUCAGAAUUUAUAAAUACGCCCCAUAAAAGAUAUGGUUUACAUUUAAGUAUACUAAAUUAUUGCGCUCAGGAAAAACAAAGACAAAUGUAAAAUAUAAAUUUAAUUUGGCCGAAAUAAUGGG